UACAGAGGUGGCAAGCGUUGUUCGGAAUUACUGGGCGUAAAGGGCGCGUAGGCGGCCAUCUAAGUCAGACGUGAAAUCCCCCGGCUCAACCUGGGAACUGCGUCUGAUACUGGACGGCUUGAGUUUGGGAGAGGGAUGUAGAAUUCCAGGUGUAGCGGUGAAAUGCGUAGAUAUCUGGAGGAAUACCGGUGGCGAAGGCGGCAUCCUGGACCAAUACUGACGCUGAGUGAGCGAAAGCCAGGGGAGCAAACGGG
rnacentral:rRNA from 1 species